GGGCCCGCACAAGCGGUGGAGCAUGUGGUUCAAUUCGACGCAACGCGAAGAACCUUACCUGGGCUCGAACGGCUGGUCAACGCUGGUAGAAAUACCGGUACCCCGCAAGGGGGUCCAGUCGAGGUGCUGCAUGGCUGUCGUCAGCUCGUGUCGUGAGAUGUUGGGUUAAGUCCCGCAACGAGCGCAACCCUUGUCCUGUGUUGCCAUCAUUCAGUUGGGAACUCGCAGGAGACCGCCAGCGAUAAGCUGGAGGAAGGUGGGGAUGACGUCAAGUCCUCAUGGCCUUUAUGUCCAGGGCUACACACGUGCUACAAUGGACGGUACAAACCGCAGCAAACCCGCGAGGGGGAGCCAAUCGGAAAAAACCGUUCUCAGUUCGGAUUGCAGGCUGCAACUCGCCUGCAUGAAGCUGGAAUCGCUAGUAAUGGCAGAUCAGCACGCUGCCGUGAAUACGUUCCCGGGCCUU
rnacentral:rRNA from 1 species